CGGCAGCUGGUCGGGCGCGGUGGCCGGCGGGCUGAUGUUCGGCGCGGGGAUGGUGCUGGCCCGCGGCUGUUCCGGGCGGCUGCUGGUGC
rnacentral:tRNA from 1 species